rnacentral:lncRNA from 1 species
UUUAUAUUUAUUUCUUGUGUUCAGUCAUCCAAAUAAAAGUCCUGAUCCGGUAUUGAAGAAGUUCAUUUUUGCACGAGGUACUAACCAACAUUUUCUCACUUUGGUAUUUUUAUAGAAAUUACAGACAUUAUUCAGAUAAAAAUAUUUUUCUUCUAUUUUUAAAGUGUUUGUAUUUUGCAUUUGGGUUCUCAGUUUAUUCAUUUAUUUAUUGAAUUCAUGUAGAUUGCUUUAGGUGAGUAUUAAAUUGUACCAUUUGGUUGUCAAAAUAAGAGGUGCUUCUUCAUAUGUAAUGCAAUUUCGUUAUUUUAAAGUCAAUAAUUACCAGUUACAUUGUUUAAAUUAAUUAAUCUUGUUCCAUUUCUUAUUUGGAUUCUUGAUUCUGUCAUAUAUUUAUUCCAUUGUUCUUGAAUUAUUUGCAGCAAGGUUAUAGAAGAAGAAAGAGUGAUAUUUUGGUAUUCAAUUUCUGCCCUUAUUUUUACCAAUUUUGCUCCUAUUUUUACCAGCAUGUUACCUCCAUUAAUCACAUUGAAUGCUGGGACUGGCAUAACAAGCUCUUUGGUGUUUGAUAUUUCCUGAAUGUACAUGUGUUUGUAGAGGGAUAUCCCCUUUGCUCCAGCUCAAGCUCAACACCCACUAAGAGAAACUCCUAGAAUUGCAUUAGCCCCCAAUUUCGAUUUGUUUGGAGUUCCUUCAAUCUCCAGCAUAAUCGCAUCAACCUCAGCUUGAUUCCUUUGUAUGGAAGAAAGGCAAAGUGGUCAGUAUCAGCAGUAUUUUGUUUCUUGUUUGAUUUGUAUGGAUAUGAUUACAGAUAUAAAUAGUGAAAUUGAAGCUAUUAAUGAAACUCCUUCAACAUCUGUUCCCCCAAUUCCACUAUUAUAUUUAGGGAGGAGAAAAAAUAAAAAAUCUUUGGAUGUGUGGGAACACUUCACAGUUAUAGGGAAUCCAAACGCUGAAGAUGUUAGGUGUGCACAAAACUAUUGUGGGCAGGAUUAUGCUUGUGGGGCUAGGAAGUAUGGGACUAUUACCUUGAGGAAUCAUUUGGUUUUUUAUUGUAAGAAGUAUCUCGGAAGAUUGGAAGAUAAAUGACAAAAAGCCCAAUUGAGGGUUGUGUGAAAAUUUAGUUGGCUUUAAUAAGGAAGAGUGUAGGCUUGCAUGUGCUAAGAUGAUAAUAUUGGAUGAAUUACCUUUUAGCUUUGUUGAAGGUGAGGGGUUUAGACAAUUUUGUAAGGUAGCAAGUCCUAAAUUUGAUUGUCCAUCUCGUAGAACUGUUGUUGGAGAUCAGUUGUAUAUGGAUAAAAAAUUGCAAUUGAAAAAGAUCAUCCAACGUCAAAGAGUUUCUCUCACUAUUGAUACUUGAAGUUCCAUUCAAAAUAUUAAUUAUACGUCUCUCACAGCACAUUAUGUUGAUUCUGAUUGGAAGUUUCAUAUUUGGAUUUUGGGUUUUUGUGUGAUUGCUAUUCAUUAGGGUGAAACCAUUGUUAAAGCUAUUGAGGCUUGUUUGCGUGUAUGGGGGUAUUGAGACAUUGUUUACAAUUACUGUUGACAAUACAACUACAAAUGAAACGGCUAUUUCUUAUAUCGGGAGGAAGAUGAUUGGUUGAAGUGGUGAUGGGUGUGUUUUAAAUGGAAAACAUCUGCACAUGAGGUUUUGUACGCAUAUUGUUAAUUUGAUUGUGUGUGAGGGAUUAAAGGAAGCACAUGAUUCAAUUGUUAGUAUUCAUAGUGCUGUAAAAUAUGUCAAAUCACUUGUGAAGAAAAAAUUGAUUGUAAGUCACUUGUGUUUUUGGAUGUACUAAUGAGGUGGAAUUCCACAUAUUUGAUGUUGGAAGCUGCUUUAAAAUUUCAAAAAGCUUUUGAAAGGUUAAAGGAUGAUGAUGUGCAAUAUGUAAAUUAUUUUCAGGAGUAUGAUGGUUGUAGAAGAAGAAGUGGGCCUCCUACAACUUUUGAUUGGAAAAAUGCUUCUAUUUUUGUGAAGUUCCUUAAAGGCUUUUAUGAAGUAACUUUGAAGUUGAGUACUUCAAUGCAUGUUAGCUCUAAUGUUUAUCUUCAUGAAGUAUAUGUUGGAUUUUAUGCACAAUAUUAAAGAGAUGAAAAAAGAAAAUCAACACAAAUAUUUUACGUGGUUCGGCGGUGUGCCUACGUCCACGAGAGCGAAGCGAAGAUUUCUUUAUUCAGUUGUGAAAAAUAGGGUUACAACAUAUUAUUUAUACUAACUUUAGCUUGGCCUAUAUAAAAUUUUAAGGCCCGUACAGGAAAUACCCUGCACCGUACCGUGGGGGUGUUGCCCCCCACACCCCAACCCAUUUAGUGUCCCUAAAAACCAAACAAUGAAUUAAAACCGCGCAAGGCCGAUGUCAUCACUCCGCUCCGCUCCGCCAUCGCCCCAUUUGAUCCAGGACCUGUGUUCUACUCUAUAUAAACCACAUGCACAACGAGUAUGUUAGCUUGUAAUUGAAUUGAAACAAUUAAGUUCAAGUGGUGAUUUUCUUUUGGGUGAAAUGGCUAUCAACAUGAAGAAAAAGUUUGACAACUAUGGGGGAAAAUGGAAAAUAUUAAUCAGUUGUUGUUGAUUGCUAUUGUGCUUGAUCCACGAUACAAAUUGGCAUAUGCUGAUUUAUGUUUUGGUGAUAUUUAUGUUGAUAAGGAAGUUGCUUGUAAUAUGACAAAGAUUUUGAAAGACAAUUUGAUGUCUAUUUAUGAUUGGUAUGUGAGAUGUGAAACAAGAUCUGAAAGCAAUCAAAUAUCAAGUGACUUGAAUUCUUCAAGUGAGGUUUAUCCUGCAAAAGAAAGUCCCACUUCAAGCGUGCUUCUUUCUCGUGUUUCUAGGUUUAAGAAAACACAAGCAGCAAAAGAUUUAGUUGAUUUGAAAAAUGAUGUGGAUAGAUACUUGUUAGAUGUUUGUGAAUAUAUUGAGGACGAUGCUGUUGAUGUUUUAAAUUCAUGGAAAGUUAAUUGAAACAAAUAUGGUACAUUGUCAAAACUUGUAAGAGAUGUAAUGGCUAUUCAAGUGUCUACGGUGGCUUCAGAAAGUGCUUUCAAUAUCCGAGGAAGAAUUCUUGAUCCAUUUCGUAGUUCUUUAAUUCCUACGAUGGUGGAAGUUUUGGUGUGUACACAAAAUUGGAUUAAAUAGUCUACAAGUAUGGAGAAAUUCUAUAUGGAAGAAGUCGAGGGAUAUAAUAAGUUGGAUAAAGGUAAUGUAGGUAUUUCAUAAAUUAUGUUAAAUAUGUAUUUUAUCAAAUUUAUUCCUAAUGUAAACAUUAUUUUUUGUAGAACUUUUGGAAUAAGAGAAAUCAAAUGAAGGCUAAAUCAACGUGAUUAGUUCAUUUCUAAUUUUUUGAGGUAAUUUUUGUAUUCUAAUGUGCAC